GCUGAUCCAUAUUUUCAUGGUUUGGCAAAUGUGGACCGUGAACCAUCAACGCAACCCAUCUCAAAAUUUGAGUUUGAGUUUGAAAGGACGAAAUUGUCGAAGGAAGAUGUACGAGAAUUAAUUUACCGAGAGAUAUUGGAGUAUCAUCCCCAAAUGCUUCAGGAAUACCUGAAUGGUGCAGAUCAAACUAGCUUCCUGUACCCAAGUGGAGUUGAUCGUUUCAAACGACAGUUUGCUCAUUUGGAGGAGCAUUAUGGUAAAAGCGGUGAGAGAAGCACUCCUCCACUUCAGAGACAACAUGCGUCUUUA